rnacentral:tRNA from 1 species
GCCCCCAUCGUCCAGCGGCCUUGGGACACCGCCCUUUCAAGGCGGCAACACGGGUUCGAAUCCCGUUGGGGGUG